AACGAACGCUGGCGGCGUGCCUAAUACAUGCAAGUCGAGCGGAAGUUGGAGAGCUUGCUCUUCAACUUUAGCGGCGGACGGGUGAGUAACACGUGGGCAACCUGCCCUGCGGAUCGGGAUAACUCCGGGAAACCGGUGCUAAUACCGCAUAGUUUUCGCCACCUCCUGGUGGCGUACGGAAAGACGGUUUCGGCUGUCACUGCAGGAUGGGCCCGCGGCGCAUUAGCGAGUUGGUGGGGUAACGGCCCACCAAGGCGACGAUGCGUAGCCGACCUGAGAGGGUGAUCGGCCACACUGGGACUGAGACACGGCCCAGACUCCUACGGGAGGCAGCAGUAGGGAAUCUUCCGCAAUGGACGAAAGUCUGACGGAGCAACGCCGCGUGAGUGACGAAGGUUUUCGGAUCGUAAAACUCUGUUGUGAGGGAAGAACAAGUACCACUUAACUACUGGUACCUUGACGGUACCUCACCAGAAAGCCACGGCUAACUACGUGCCAGCCGCCGCGGUAAUAC
rnacentral:rRNA from 1 species